GAUGAACGCUAGCGGCAGGCUUAACACAUGCAAGUCGAGGGGCAGCAUGAGACGGAGAUUCGUCGAAGUCUUGAUGGCGACCGGCGCAAGGGUGCGUAACGCGUGAGCAACUUGCCCGUUUCAGGGGGAUAACCGGUGGAAACGCCGACUAAUACCCCAUAGCAUUGCGAGAAGGCAUCUUUUGCAAUUAAAGAAUUUCGGAAACGGAUAGGCUCGCGUGACAUUAGCUAGAUGGUGAGGUAACGGCUCACCAUGGCGACGAUGUCUAGGGGUUCUGAGAGGAAGGUCCCCCACACUGGAACUGAGACACGGUCCAGACUCCUACGGGAGGCAGCAGUGAGGAAUAUUGGUCAAUGGUCGAAGGACUGAACCAGCCAUGCCGCGUGAAGGUGACGGCCCUAUGGGUCUUAAACUUCUUUUGUAAGGGAGCAAUAAGUUCUACGUGUAGGACGAUGAGAGUACCUUACGAAUAAGCAUCGGCUAACUCCGU
rnacentral:rRNA from 1 species